rnacentral:rRNA from 1 species
GACGAACGCUGGCGGCGUGCUUAACACAUGCAAGUCGAACGGAAAGGCCCGGCUUUUGUGGGUUUCUCGAGUGGCGAACGGGUGAGUAACACGUGAGUAACCUGCCCUUGACUUUGGGAUAACUUCAGGAAACUGGGGCUAAUACCGGAUAGGAGCUCCUGCUGCAUGGUGGGGGUUGGAAAGUUUCGGCGGUUGGGGAUGGACUCGCGGCUUAUCAGCUUGUUGGUGGGGUAGUGGCUUACCAAGGCUUUGACGGGUAGCCGGCCUGAGAGGGUGACCGGCCACAUUGGGACUGAGAUACGGCCCAGACUCCUACGGGAGGCAGCAGUGGGGAAUAUUGCACAAUGGGCGAAAGCCUGAUGCAGCAACGCCGCGUGCGGGAUGACGGCCUUCGGGUUGUAAACCGCUUUCGCCUGUGACGAAGCGAGAGUGACGGUACUGGGUAAAGAAGCACCGGCUAACUACGUG